UACGAAGGGGGCUAGCGUUGCUCGGAAUCACUGGGCGUAAAGCGCACGUAGGCGGCUUCUUAAGUCAGGGGUGAAAUCCUGGAGCUCAACUCCAGAACUGCCUUUGAUACUGGGAAGCUUCGAGUCCGGAAGAGGUGAGUGGAACUGCGAGUGUAGAGGUGAAAUUCGUAGAUAUUCGCAAGAACACCAGUGGCGAAGGCGGCUCACUGGCCCGGUACUGACGCUGAGGCACGAAGGCCAGGGGAGCAAACGGGG
rnacentral:rRNA from 1 species